rnacentral:lncRNA from 1 species
GCCUUUGGUGGAGUGAUUUCAGCCGGAUCUCAGACAAAGUGCACACGGUGAUGGAGGCAAAGCCGAGUCUGGCCAAAGUAGCGGCAACUGGUGACAUGCAAAUCCCAGCAAAGGCGAGAGAGGAGACCCCCAAUGAAGGAAGAAAACCUCUCAGAAAUUCUGUGGUUAGGGUCAGGAGUGCUUGGAAGGGCAGUUCACUAAUGUCUAGGGAGGAGGUGUCUAGAUUGAGUGUCUUCGUGCCGAAGCCUUUGGCAGAUGCCAGGUUAAUUUUGGGG